rnacentral:rRNA from 1 species
AUGAACGCUGGCGGCGUGCCUAAUACAUGCAAGUCGAGCGAACAGACGAGGAGCUUGCUCCUCUGACGUUAGCGGCGGACGGGUGAGUAACACGUGGAUAACCUACCUAUAAGACUGGGAUAACUUCGGGAAACCGGAGCUAAUACCGGAUAAUAUAUUGAACCGCAUGGUUCAAUAGUGAAAGACGGUUUUGCUGUCACUUAUAGAUGGAUCCGCGCCGCAUUAGCUAGUUGGUAAGGUAACGGCUUACCAAGGCAACGAUGCGUAGCCGACCUGAGAGGGUGAUCGGCCACACUGGAACUGAGACACGGUCCAGACUCCUACGGGAGGCAGCAGUAGGGAAUCUUCCGCAAUAGGCGAAAGCCUGACGGAGCAACGCCGCGUGAGUGAUGAAGGUCUUCGGAUCGUAAAACUCUGUUAUUAGGGAAGAACAAAUGUGUAAGUAACUAUGCACGUCUUGACGGUACCUAAUCAGAAAGCCACGGCUAACUACGUGC